GCAGUUCGCGAUAAGCGGCCG
rnacentral:miRNA from 1 species